CCUACGGGAGGCAGCAGUCGGGAAUAUUGCGCAAUGGAGGAAACUCUGACGCAGUGACGCCGCGUAUAGGAAGAAGUUUUUCGGAAUGUAAACUAUUGUCGUUAGGGAAGAGGAUGGACAGUAUCCAAGGAGGAAGCUCCGGCUCACGACGUGCCAGCAGCCGCGGUAAUACGUAGGGAGCGAGCGUGGUCCGGAAGUAUUGGGUGUAAAGGGUGCGUAGACGGGAGAACAAGUUAGUUGUGAAAUCCCUCGGCUAAACUAAGGAACUGCAACUAAAACUAUUUGUCUUGAGUGCAGGAGAGGUAAGUGGAAUUCAUAGUGUAGCGGUGGAAUGCGUAGAUAUUAGGAGGAACACCAGUGGCGAAGGCGACUUACUGGACUGUAACUGACGUUGAGGCACGAAAGUGUGGGGAGCAAACAGGAUUAGAUACCCGUGUAGUC
rnacentral:rRNA from 1 species